GCCUCCGUAGAUUAGCGGUAAAUCACCUCAGCUUUAUAGUUCAGAGCUAUCAAGAUACAUGAGGGGUCGUGGGUUCGAAUCCCACCGGAGGCA